GAUGAAGAACGCAGCAAAAUGCGAUAAGUAAUGUGAAUUGCAGAAUUCAGUGAAUCAUCGAAUCUUUGAACGCGCAUUGCGACCGCCAGUAUUCUGGCGGGCAUGCCUGUUCGAGCGUCAUUUCAACCCUCAAGCACAGCUUGGUGUUGGGACUCGCGUUAAUUCGCGUUCCCCAAAUUGAUUGGCGGUCACGUCGAGCUUCCAUAGCGUAGUAGUAAAACCCUCGUUACUGGUAAUCGUCGCGGCCACGCCGUUAAACCCCAACUUCUGAAUGUUGACCUCGGAUCAGGUAGGAAUACCCGCUGAACUUAAGCAUAUCAAUAAGCGGAGGA
rnacentral:misc_RNA from 1 species